rnacentral:tRNA from 1 species
GUUGUGCCGUUGGCAAUCUGUCUCAUAACCUGAAGGUCAUAGGUUCAAAUCCUAUCCCCGCAACCA